GAGUUUCUUCGCUGAUGUUUUGCUUUUCCUGAGCACUUCCUGAAUGUACAAGUGUGUAACAGUUUUCCUGUUACUAUUUGAAAUAUCUACCUGUAGUAGCUAUCUCACCCAUUAGAGGGCGAUCUAGGUAGUAAGUCUCCAAUCUGCUUAAAAGGAGGUAGAGAAGAAGCAGUAGGCAGGAAGUAUGGUGCCUAGCAAAUGGAAAGGCUUCUUCACUGCGCUGUUGUUUGUUGAUGCCCUUAUUUGAGGAACAUUUUUGUUCUUAUACCUCAGAUAGGGUUUUUGGUAUCCACUUUAAGUCAUCAAAACAGGACCUGGACAAUCCAUCCUCAUAUCCACAGACUUUUUCCAUCCACUUUCCUACUGAUUCCGUGGCCAGCCAUUGAUGAACUGUUUGCUGAACUUGAUCUUUCAUGUGAUUCACUUAAGGACUGUUGGUAUCUUUUUUGGAUUGCUAUAAAUACUAGAUUCAAUGAGAAAGACACUUAUCGAAUGCUUAUUUCUGUCUAAUAGUGAUCAUUAAUGAGUUGACUGCUGAUCAUUUCAUAUCCCCAGUGUGUAACAAUAAUUAUUCAUACCUGCUGUCAUAUACAUUUCUAAAUACACAUGAAUCUCUGAAAGUU